rnacentral:lncRNA from 1 species
AUUCAUUCACUAGUCUGAUCAUUAUUAAAAAUUUUUGAAAAGUUGGAAGUAUAAAAGCAAAUGCUUUUGGCAGUUUAAUACCAAACUAUGCUUAAAUCAGAUUAAAAAUUAUUUCUAUUUAAUGGUUGAGAAAGCUGUUUGGGAAUGAGUAAAUCAUUAGACACAUGAAUGUUGAGGAUCAGAUGUAUAAGCCAAGCGAUCGGAACCUCAAGAUAUUUUACUACAAAUAUAUAGAGACCCCUCAACUUUUUUUUUAGGGGCAAUUGCAUAUAUACUCCUGAAAAUUUCCGACUUUCUGAUUUACUCCUUUUAGAAGGCUAAUAUUGAAAAUAUUCUUUUUACGUUCCAACCUAUUUUAAAUAUACCACUAGAGUUAAAAUUCUAUUAAUGAACGGUUAAAAUAGUUGCUAUUUCUAUAAAAUCAAUAUUUUGCACUUUCAAAUAUACCCUUCUACCAUCACCAGUUUUUCUUAUUUGCCCUUAAGUUAGGGGUACAAAAUAUAUUUUAAUUUUUGGUCUUUUCAAACAUACCCUUCUACCAUUACCAAUAUUUCUUAUUUGCCCUUAAGUUAAGGAUAAAAAAGACAUUUUGAUUUUUUUUAACUCUAAUAGAUACUUAACUCACGUUUAAUCUAAGUUAACUUAACAUGUGGUAAUUACAGGGAUAUUUUGGAAUAACAGAAGAACAAAUGAAGGGUAUAAUAAAAAAUAAAAAAAAAGUAGUGGUAAAUUAGAUAUUUCUAAAGUUUUGAGUGGUAUAUAGCCAAUUAUCUUUUUUUUUUUUAA